rnacentral:rRNA from 1 species
AGCAGUCGCCGCGGUAAUACGGAGGGUGCGAGCGUUAAUCGGAAUUACUGGGCGUAAAGCGUACGCAGGCGGUCUGUUUAGUCAGAUGUGAAAUCCCCGGGCUUAACCCGGGAACUGCAUUUGAAACUGGCAGGCUAGAGUCUCGUAGAGGGGGGUAGAAUUCCAGGUGUAGCGGUGAAAUGCGUAGAGAUCUGGAGGAAUACCGGUGGCGAAGGCGGCCCCCUGGACGAAGACUGACGCUCAGGUACGAAAGCGUGGGGAGCAAACAGGAUUAGAUACCCCAGUAGUCCCUGUCUCUUAUAC